rnacentral:rRNA from 2 species
UGGGGAAUAUUGGACAAUGGGCGCAAGCCUGAUCCAGCCAUGCCGCGUGAGUGAUGAAGGCCCUAGGGUUGUAAAGCUCUUUCACCGGUGAAGAUAAUGACGGUAACCGGAGAAGAAGCCACGGCUAACUUCGUGCCAGCAGCCGCGGUAAUACGAAGGGGGCUAGCGUUGUUCGGAUUUACUGGGCGUAAAGCGCACGUAGGCGGACUUUUAAGUCAGGGGUGAAAUCCCGGGGCUCAACCCCGGAACUGCCUUUGAUACUGGAAGUCUUGAGUAUGGUAGAGGUGAGUGGAAUUCCGAGUGUAGAGGUGAAAUUCGUAGAUAUUCGGAGGAACACCAGUGGCGAAGGCGGCUCACUGGACCAUUACUGACGCUGAGGUGCGAAAGCGUGGGGAGCAAACAGG